AGCGCCGCAUCUGAAGCUCUGAAAAUUUAAAGAGCGCCGCCGCGGUGCUCAAAUGAGUAAAUACGGUAUCCGUUUUCGCGAAUCAAUCGACAUACCCGUUUACCGCAAAUAUCCGCAAUAAAUCAGGACGCUCUGUUGAUCUAUUCAGCGUUUAGUCGCUGGGAUUUAAAGUAGAUGCCUGCACAAAUCUGACAAGAGGUGCAAGUAAGUCUAAAAGUAUGAAAUUCGUUGAUUUGUAUAGGUAAAAGUAAAGUUAAGUAAGUAAGUAAAAUUAAGGUUUAAUUUCACGCGUGUUUUCAAAGUUUUACAAAUUGUCUUGACUCCAGUCUUGACACCAGUUGGUAAUAUUGUCAAGUUCUGAUUGUAGGAUUUCUUUGUCUUGAAGAUUGCGAACAGCGCAAUGACAUUUAGUAUCAUCAGCGAACAUUGACACGGCAGUAUCUUGGGAGACGCUUUCGGGAAGAUCGUUUACGUAGAUUAGAAAGAGGAUUGGUCCAAAAAUUGAUCCUUGGCGAACGCCGGAUAGUACUGGGAGCGGCUGAGAUGUAAAACCAUGUACAGCGACUCUUUGAAAACGCCCAGAAAGAUAAUUUUUGAAGAAGAUUACCAAAGUUAUGGAGUUUUACAAGUAAAAGGUCAUGACUUACUUUGUCGAAUGCUUUCGCGAAGUCGAGGUAAAUGAUGCCAAAUUGGCAUCUUUUUUCAAGCAUUUUAUGAAUGUUGGGAAGAACAUGUAAAAGCUGGGAAGUAGUAGACUUGCCUCUUUGAAACCCAUACUGUAACUCAUCCAGUUUGCUUGAAAUAUGAUCUAUAAGUCUAUUGUAAAUGCAACGUUCCGCAAAUACCUUCGAGACUAACGAUAGAAGUGAAAUUGAUCUAUAAUUGGAAACUUCAUGAAGUGGACUUUUCUUUGGGAUUGGACAACUUCCUUUCUGACGGAAGUUGACCAGACGAUAAACUUUUGUUGAAAAGUUCACAUAAUGACGGAGCUAUGCACACGUA